GCCGGGUGGGGUGGCUCACGCCUGUAAUCCCAGCACUUUGGGAGGCUGAGGCAGAUGGAUCACCUGAGGUCAGGAGUUUGAGACCAGCCUGGCCAACAUGGUGAAACUCUGCCUCUA
rnacentral:SRP_RNA from 1 species